UAGAAUUUGAUUUAGGGUUUGGGAUUUGGAUUAGGAUUUGAUUUAAGAUUUAGAGUUUGGUUAGGAUUUGAUUUAGGAUUUAGGAUUUGAUUAAGAUUUAAUUUAGGAUUUAGGAUUUGGUUAGGAUUUGGUAUAGGGUUUAGGAUUUGGUUAGGAUUUUAUUUAGGGUUUGGAUUAAGGUUUAGUUUAGGAUUUAGGAUUUGGAUUAGGAUUUGGUUAGGGUUUGAUAUAGGAUUUAGGAUUUGGUUUAGGAUUUGGUUGGAAUUUGGUUAGGGUUUGGUUUAGGAUUUAGUUUGGGUUUAGUUUAAGGUUUGUUUAGGAUUUGAUUUAGGAUUUGGUUUAGAGUUUGGUUAGGAUUUUAUUUAAAAUUUGGAUUACGGUUUGGUUUGGGAUUUAAGAUUUGGAUUAGAUUUUUAGUUAGGAUUUGAUUUAGGAUUUAGGAUUUGGUUUAGGAUAUAGUUAGGGUUUGAUUUAGGAUUUUGUUGGGGUUUAGUUUAAGGUUUGUUUAGGAUUUGAUUUAAGAUUUAGGAUUUUAUUAGGAUUUAAGAUUUAAUUAGGUUUGGCCUAAAGUUUGAAUGAAGUUCAAUAGGAUUUUAACUAGAAUUAAAUUAAGAUUGAAUUGAGAUGUAUUUGAGUGAUAUUUGUGAUCCUUCUAAUAUUUCUUUAAGAAUUUUUAUUCUUUGUUUGAAAUUUCUUGAGAUUUUUAUGAAUUUGAUUGAAGCUUGCUUAGUAUUAUUAUGAUCUAAUUAGAGUUUAAUUAGUAUUCUAUUAGAAUAAAGAUUUUGUUGUUACAAU
rnacentral:lncRNA from 1 species